rnacentral:rRNA from 1 species
CUUAGGGAUAACAGCGUAAUUUUCUUAGAGAGUUCUUAUCGAAAGGAGAGUUUGCGACCUCGAUGUUGGAUUAAAAUUUAGGUUUGGUGUAGCAGCUAAACUAUUAGGUCUGUUCGACCUUUAAAAUUUUACAUGAUCUGAGUUUAGACCGGCGUGAGCCAGGUUGGUUUCUAUCUUUAUAGAGCUAAUAUUUUUUAGUACGAAAGGACCAAAAAUAUACUAGAUUAGUUUAAUCUUGAAUAUUAUUGUU